AUAUCUGUUGCUUAGAGGUUUAUAGCGGUGAGCUCAUAACUCAUUUAUAAUCAGUAGUUCGAAUCUACUCAGAUAUA
rnacentral:tRNA from 1 species